GCCAGAUCCCAAGGGGUUAAAAGGAGCUGGUCUCUUUCACUUCCAUCUUGCAGGAGGUGGCACGCUGCAAGUGUGCAUCUUGCAAUGAACACAAUGUGCGUGGCACAAUGAGGCGGCGCUAUGAAGAUGAUGGCAUCUCAGAUGAUGAAAUUGAAGGAAAGAGGACAUUUGACCUGGAGGAGAAACUCUCCACCAACAAAUUCAAUGCCAACUUCGUCCUCUUUAUGGAAGGCAAAGACUUCAAUGUUGAGUAUAUCCAGCGGGGUGGCCUGAGAGACCCUUUGAUUUUCAAGAACUCCGACGGGCUCGGAAUAAAGAUGCCAGAUCCUGACUUCAGUGUGAAUGACGUGCGACUGUAUGUAGGGAGCCGGCGGAUGGUGGAUGUCAUGGAUGUGAACACACAAAGGGACAUUGAGAUGUCCAUGGCACAGUGGGCACGCUACUAUGAGACCCCAGAGGAGGAGCGGGAGAAAUUGUAUAACGUCAUCAGCUUGGAGUUCAGUCACACAAGGCUAGAGAACCUGGUGCAGAGACCUGCUACGGUGGAUCUGAUUGACUGGGUCGACAACAUGUGGCCAAGACACCUAAAGGAGAGUCAAACGGAGUCUACAAAUGCCAUUCUGGAGAUGCAGUAUCCCAAGGUGCAAAAGUACUGUCUGAUGAGUGUUAAGGGCUGCUACACAGAUUUCCAUGUGGACUUUGGCGGCACCUCCGUAUGGUACCACAUCCACCGAGGGGGAAAGAUCUUCUGGCUGAUCCCGCCAACAUCCCAGAACCUGGAGCUCUACGAGAAUUGGCUGCUGUCAGGGAAACAGGGGGACAUCUUUCUUGGUGACAAAGUGUCAGACUGUCAACGAAUUGAGCUCAAGCAGGGCUACACGUUCGUCAUCCCCUCAGGUUGGAUCCAUGCUGUGUACACUCCCACUGACACUUUGGUUUUCGGGGGCAACUUCCUGCACAGCUUCAACAUCCCCAUGCAGCUACGGAUCUACAACAUUGAAGACCGCACACGGGUCCCAAAUAAGUUUCGCUACCCCUUCUACUAUGAGAUGUGUUGGUAUGUGCUGGAACGCUAUGUUUACUGCAUCACCAGCCACUCCCACCUGACCAAGGACUUCCAGAAGGAAUCACUCAACAUGGAUAUGGAGUUGAGCUGCUUGGAGCCAGGAAACAUGGAUGAAGAGGACGAUGCAGCAGGCAGGGAGCCCAGGCGCCCAGUCACCAGACGAUCAAUUCUCACAAGCCCUGUGGCUAAUGGUGCCAACCUAGACUAUGAUGAAUUAAGCAGAAGUUGCAGGAGCCUGCCAGGCCUCAAGAGAACUCUAUCUAUGGACUCCUCUGACUCCAGCCGGGGCUCCCACAAUGGUCAGGCCUGGGAUCCCCAUGGCAGCAGUCCUUUCAAGUACAGGAAGGUGCAUCUGACCCAGUUCGAACUGGAAGGUCUACGCUGCCUGGUGGACAAGCUGGAGUCACUGCCUCUGCACAAGAAAUGUGUCCCCACGGGCAUAGAGGAUGAGGACGCCCUCAUUGCUGACGUUAAGUUGCUGCUGGAAGAGCACGCAAACAGCGACCCCAAACUGGCACUUACAGGAGUCCCUAUCAUCCAGUGGCCCAAGAGAGACAAGCUAAAGCUCCAGGCCCGACCGAAGGUGCGCCUGCCCACCAUCCCCAUCACCAAGCCUCACACCAUGAAGCCAGCCCCACGCCUGGCGCCUGUAAGGCCCACAGUGUCUCCGAUAGUGUCAGGAGCACGACGGAGGCGAGUGCGGUGCCGUAAAUGCAAGGCCUGCAUGCAAGGCGAGUGUGGCAUGUGCCACUACUGCAGGGACAUGAAGAAGUUUGGGGGGCCUGGUCGCAUGAAGCAGUCCUGCGUCCUCCGGCAGUGCUUAGCGCCCAGGCUGCCUCACUCGGUCACGUGCGCGCUUUGUGGGGAGGUGGAUCAGAAUGAGGAUUCGCAGGACUUUGAGAAGAAGCUCAUGGAAUGCUGCAUCUGCAAUGAGAUAGUUCACCCUGGCUGCCUGCAGAUGGACGGGGAAGGGCUGCUGAAUGAUGAAUUGCCCAAUUGCUGGGAGUGUCCAAAGUGCUACCAGGGUGAUGACUUGGAGAAGGGCCAGGUAAGAGGAGACCCACUCGCCUGGACAGCACCAGUGUGGGGAGAAUGGGAGCACUUGGAUUGCCCUCUAAACGCACACCCCACUCAGAUCUUCUCAGAUGGGGAGAAACGGAAGAUGGAGGAGAGCGAUGAGGACACAGUGCAGGCCAAAGUCCUGCGACCCCUGCGGAGCUGCGAGGAGCCCCUGACACCCCCACCGCACUCGCCCACCUCCAUGCUGCAGCUGAUCCACGACCCGGCAUCGCCGCGGGGUGUGGUGACGCGCUCGUCCCCAGGGGCUGGCCCCAGUGACCACCACAGCGCCAGCCGGGAUGAGCGCUUCAAGCGGCGGCAGCUGCAGCGGCUCCAGGUCACGGAGCGCACCAUGGUGCGGGAGAAGGAGAACAACCCCAGCGGCAAGAAGGAGCUGUCAGAGGUGGAGAAGGCCAAGCUGCAUGGCUCCUACCUUACGGUCACGCUGCAGAGGCCCGCCAAAGACCUGCACGGCACCUCUAUUGUGCCCAAGCUGCAGGCCAUCACCGCCUCCUCCACUAAUCUGCGGCACUCUCCCCGUGUGGUCGUGCGCCACUGCCCAGCCAGGACGCCCCAGCGGGCCGGGGAGGAGGAGGCAGAUGAGGAGGAGGCAGCAGACGAGGAGGAGGAGGAGGAAAGCGCGGAGGAGGGCGGGGCGGCCCGGCUGAAUGGCAGAGGCAGCCGAGUGCAGGACGGCGAGGAGAGCUGGAUGCAGCGCGAGGUGUGGAUGUCCGUCUUCCGCUACCUCAGCCGCAGAGAGCUCUGCGAGUGUAUGCGGGUGUGCAAGACCUGGUACAAAUGGUGCUGCGACAAGAGAUUGUGGACGAAGAUUGAUUUGAGCAGGUGCAAGUCCAUCACUCCCCAGGCCCUGAGCGGCAUCAUCAAGAGGCAGCCGGUCAGCCUCGACCUUAGCUGGACCAAUAUCUCCAAAAAACAGCUCACCUGGCUUGUCAACAGGCUGCCAGGCCUGAAAGACCUCAUCUUAGCAGGCUGUUCCUGGUCUGCAGUCUGUGCGCUCAGUACCUCCAGCUGCCCCCUUCUCAGGACCCUCGAUCUUCGGUGGGCAGUAGGAAUCAAGGACCCUCAGAUCCGGGACUUGCUCACACCUCCCACAGACAAACCUAGUCAAGACAAUCGCAGCAAACUCCGCAACAUGACAGAUUUCCGGCUAGCUGGUCUGGACAUCACCGAUGCCACACUCCGGCUCAUCAUCCGCCAUAUGCCCCUGCUCUCACGACUCGACCUUAGUCACUGCAGCCACCUUACGGACCAGUCGGCCAAUCUCCUAACGGCCGUGGGGUCUUCCACGCGCAACUCGCUCACUGAGAUCAACAUGGCAGGUUGCAAUAAGCUGACGGACCAGUCCCUGCUGUAUCUGCGGCGCAUCUCCAACCUCACCCUGAUCGACCUGCGAGGCUGCAAGCAGAUUACCCGCAAGGCCUGCGAGCACUUCAUCUCAGACCUGUCCAUCAGUAGCCUCUACUGCUUGUCCGACGAGAAGCUGAUCCAGAAAAUCAGCUAGAGACCAACCCCAGGCAGACUGAGGAGAAGGAAAGAUCCCAUCCCACCCCCCUCGGAGAGGGCAAGUUGUCGUCUGCCACGAUCAUGGUGACUCUUCAUAUUCCCCUGCCACCUGGUGUGGGCUCCAGAUCACCCCCACUUAAAAUCAAGUGUGCUAAAUGCAAACUCUCGUUGACUAUCCGACUGCUGAUUGCAACCUGGGAACAGAAGCUGGGGAGUGAAAGACCUAUUGGGAAUUCCAUGAAGCUAUCUGAAUGACAAAAAUGGAGCUGUCCUUCCUGGCCCUGUGCAAACCAGUGGGGAAAUAGGAUUCUCAGCCUGGCAGGAGUAUAGAGACAUCUUGCUAGAAACACAGAUAGGAAGAUGUGCAUCAAUUUGAAGAGAGGAGACAGCUGUAAACAACUCAGUGGGCACUAGCCACCUCUCCACUGAAAGUGGAUCCACUUCAUGAAACUGCCAUCGCUCAGACUUUUUCCUGCAGAGACAUUUGCUCUAUCAAUGGGGGUAGCCCUUUUUCCACCCCAUAGGCAAGGUAUAGGUAUAAGGAAAUUGAUCAGAGUGAAAUUGACAGGGUUCCUGCAUGGGAGCUGCUCUUUCCAAAAAUGGCCAGGUGAGGGCAGUUUAACCCUGGCAAUGAGAAAAGGGGCUGGGUGCAUAGAUCCCUUUUGAGAACUGUCGCAACUCCACUCACUGAUGAAUGGGGGAACUUCUUCCACCUAGCUAACAGCAGAUGAGGCAUUAAACCCAGGGGUUGCCAGACAGGAACAGGCCAUCCCUGCUGGGCUUCCGGCUUCUGCUACUGUCAUGAUUGCACACGGUGCAGCGCAAUUUCAGGCCAUUGGAGACUAACCUAUGGGGUUGCCAGUUUCCUCUUGGAUGCCCUCUCCCCACCCCUCUGCUUUUCCCUGCUCAAAGUGACUGUCUCAAAAACCCAGGCCAUGUUCCUCCUCCCUGCUCCCUGCCAUGUCUUGCUGCCCGCACCCUUUCAUGUGGCCUAUGCCCUGCAGGAGCUGCUCCCCUGGUAUCCUUCACUCGUGCAACCUCCUCAGCUUCACAUUCUGCCAGGCUCUAGCCCUGGUUUCUCCUUUUGAUCCCUCCCCCUGCAGAGCGGGGAAGGGCGGGGAGGGAGAGUUUUUCCUUUCACUUUCUCUGCCCUGCAAAGUCAAGGCUUCCUUUAAUUUCUCCUCCACCUUCCCUAGUUUGCCCCACAACCCAGUUCCUGACAUGUUCCUUUCCCCUACCCCCAUUCCUGGGGUCUCUGUCUGCAACAGGAUUCUCCUAUCACCUACCUUCUGGCUGAGAUUUCCCCAAGUGACUCUUCUGGGUGGCCUUUUAAAGAAGCCUGGAUACAGACUAACACGGCUGCUACUCUGAAACCUGAUUUGUGGAUGUUCAGCUUGGAGGCUUGAAAUUAAUUCCAGUCCCUAUAAAGUGUGUCAAGUAGGUCACCCCAAGCCACCUUCCAACCUUUGGCUAUCAACCCAACUCUAGCAAUGGGGUCUUGGCAGGCCCAGCAGGAGGUGUCACGACCUGCCAUUCUAUCCACAGCACACUGCUCUUUCCUUUGCUCCUUGCUUUGCCUUUAAUGGAGCUGAGCCAUUUAAGCUCAGAUCUUCGUAGGAAUUUAGGCUGCUAACUUCCGCUGCAAUGAAUAGGAGUUAAGUGCCUAAAUACCUUUAAGAAGCUGGGACCUGGAGACCUCACCAACUUCUGGAGACUCUUUGAAACGUGCACUGACCUCGGAACAAAGAGCAAAGGACUCCAAAGGCCGAUGAGGUCAUUCAAUGUGCUGCCCAGCUGUUCCCUUCCACUCAGGAGUUGUGCCUCAAAAAGUGGCGCAGGUGAGAUGGCCAUAUCAGACAGACGAUUAUGAAGAGCGAAAGCCCCAUCCUAGAAGUGACCUAAAGAACCAAAAUGGCCAAAAUCUCUGGAUGCCAGAAAGCAACAUGUCUGGUACAGAGGGUUCCCAGAGGGACUGGGCAGCCCAAAUUCCCAGAUGACCGAGCAAUGCUGCAGACUAAAAAGCAACCUGGAGACAACUGCAACAACGAUGAUGAUGGUGAAAUUGCGCUGGAGUCAAACCCGAAUUAUUGGAGUCAUUACAGGAGUAACUGGGUGACACUGUCUGACCUGUGCUCUGCAGGGUGUCACACUGAAAGAUCUAAUGGUCCCUUCUGGCCUUGGAAUCUGAGACUAGGCGAGGAAAUGUUCAAAGGGUUACAGGAUUCCUUGAGGGCACUGAGUCCUCUGGGUAGAGGUAAUCUGGACUUGGUGGAAGCCUUAAAACUGAACAGGCUCUUAGCACCUUGGGAAUCCCUCUCCCCUGAGAGUUAGAACUUGGCUUCAGGAGAAAAUUGCAGAUUUUUAACAUACGGUGUCAAUUUAAACCAGGGCUAAUCCCUGCCAGGAGAGGCUUUCCCUUUGGCUUAACCAGGCUCCAAUCAGUUUAAGUCAAUAAGGAACCAGUUUAAACUAAUCUCCAAUAAGCCACUCUUAAAAAAGAACUGCUUUCCCCUAAAAGCUCCUGGUGACAUCCGGCAUGCCCUGAGCAUGGGCCUUCCUUCCGCUCCAGUGGCAGGCAUAGCCCCUCUAGCUAGGCUCAUGCCCAGUUUGUGUCUGGUUAGAUACAUUGCCUGUCCUUCUCAAUGGAAACAUUCUCACGUAGAGUUUUGUUUCCUCGGCGCUGGAUAAAAUGCUACUAGUGGCGGCGGGGUUAGCGAAAAUAAUCCCAAAUUGAUAAGCCACGUCGUCACACGUAUUUGUGUUUAUCAUUCUGAUCUACACCCUGCAAAGGCCCAGGCACCUGCCACUGGGUCUUUGUGGGAAUCUUUACUUUUCCUUUCCAAACGACACAGUUCCUCCAGUCUGCCAAGAGUUGAAGCAUAAAAAUGAGGUGUGUGGUGGAGGGGGGGAGUAGGGUUGGUGCAGCACCUAGCAUAGUGGGCUCCUGCUCCAUUGCUGGGUCUCCUAGGUGCUACCACAAUGUAGAUAACAUGCUUAACUUUAAGCACGUGCUUAACUUUAAGGACAUUGGAACCCCAUUGCUUUAAAUGCCUUGUUAGAUUGGGGUCAUAAGGGUUGAGGUGGGUUAGUUCAGGGGAAAAUCGCCCACUGUUGCUUCUAAGGAAAGCCAGAGACCUCUGGCUGUGCUGGGCAUACAACAAACAUAGUUGCCCUUAGAUGGAGGGUUGGAGUCCAGCUGUUAGGCUUUGAGCUCCUGCCCCAGGUCAUCAGCCUGGUCCAUGCAUCAUCCUAGUAAAUGCUCGGCACCCAUCAGACUCUUGAGGGUGCAACCUUAUUGCCUUUCAGGGAAUUGCACCAUCUCUAAAACAGAUCUUCUGCCCAGGCGUGUUAUCCACCACCCCGAGGGCUGUGAACGAGUGCACGUUUGCCCACCAAGCUCUGGAUCUUGCAGCAGACACAUGACCCAGAGAUGUGGUGUCUGGCAUUAUGCUGCACCGCUCGAAGGUGCCUACUGUACCCAGGGUGUGGGCCAGUUGGCCCAUCUCCCUUCGGUGAAGGUUUGCAUGGGGGCAGAGCUGAUGAUGUUCUGAAGAAGGUAGAAGAGGGUAGGGCCUGGGGAAUUGGCCUCAUUGAAGUCCAAGGCAAAACUUCCAGUGAUUUUAGUAACAGUUACCCAGGUCCACUGCCUGCUCUCCAGCCAGAGGAGAAGGAACCCAUCCUGGCAAUCUUCUUGGUUCCAUAAACAAAACCCUCAUUCUGGCUCCUUUGCACCUUGAGCCAGCCCCCUCUAGCCUUGUUUGCUGCACCAACUGUAGAGGAGACAGAGGGCAGGGGGAGAUACUCUGGCCUCCUGGUUCUCCUGCUGGCCCAUCCUUGGAUCUGAUGGGUUGUCCAGGAGCCCUGUCCCACUCUGCAAUCCCUGUCCUUCCUCUCCCUUCUGGAAGCUCUCUGGUCUGUUUCCUUGACAUGUGGGACCUCCACAGACCAUCGAGUUCAGUCUGGAGACCUGUCCCAUGCCCCCUCGCCUGCCCCUUCUUGGGGAACCCUCCCCUCACCCUGCUCAGAACAGACCUGGUUUCCUCAUUCAGGGUGAGUGCUGAAGAGGAGAUGCCAGCAGCAUGGAGGGGAAAGCUGCUCCUGAGAGAGAUGCCUUUCCCUCAGCAGGUGCCAUUUGCACCUCCCCAGAUUUUCAAGGCAGGCCAGACACCAUCUCGCAGGUAUCCUGCCCCCAGAGCAGUAACUUCCGGUGGAGCCAGAGCCUGUCCUUGAGCAAACCCCCAAACUUGCAAAGUUCCACAUUCUGAUUCUGGAUUCCUCACCCUAAAAGACACAGAUUUUUGCUUGCACUCACUCACUCACUCACUCACUCACCCACCCAAAGCACCCUUCUUUCCAUCCACCAGUGAUCCUAGCCCACAGCGGUGUCGCUGCAGCACCAUGUGUCUUCCACAGGAGCCUAGUAGCGGUGACAGCAUCGUACCGCUGCCAGGAAACGCAUGGGUGCCAUACAUAGAUAAACUUGUUCAGCACCAUCCUCCAGAAAUGGGCUCCAUCUGCACCAGCUCCCUCAUCUGCCAUUGCAAACCCUGAGGCUUGUAUGGGGGAGGUGAGUCUGUGUAUGCAAAGGGCCAAGGAGGAGCAUGGUCUUCAGGAGGGUCCUUGUCUGGUAGCAUUGGGAGAUCAGCAGGGGGUGGAGGGGAAUGACUCUGCUGCCCCCACCUGCCGAAAUGCCUUAGAUUCAGCCUUGAAGGGACAUUAGCCAAUGCACUGGCAUCACUUAGCAGCCUGACUUUGACCAGGACUUAAGCUUGGGUCACUUAAGCCAAGAUCCUCAAAGGUAUUUAGGCACCUAACUCACAUUGAUGGGAAAUCAGCCAGAGAUGAGCACCUAACAUCUUUUGAGGCUCUGGGCUUUGUGCUUUGUCCAGUGCUCCCCAGAGCCCUGUUCUGCUUUCACCCCAAUGUCAGGACCUUCCUGGGGUUCCUGCUGUCUCCGGACCUCCAGCAUUCAGCAGAAAGAACCAAGGUGGUUGGGGAACCUCUUAACACCUCAGCUCUGAUGGCUUGGGGGUAGGGGGGCCUUCAAAAAGUAUCUGACGCUCACUGGGGCUGCAAUCUCACACGUGUCUCUGUGCAGAAAGGCCACUGUCUGAAAGAAGAAAUGCAGCACAAUUGGUGGCAAAGGACCUCUUUCCCUGAAACACCUGGGGGCCUGAACUCUGAAAUUGGUCAGCAUCCUCCCUUCUUACUGUCCUGAUCUAGGGAAUCCCAUUCCACCUUUAAAGGGAGACUUUUAUUGAAACAGGUAAUGACACAAACAGGCUUUCCCCCCCAGCUCACAUUCCAGCUUUGUCUCUCUUGUUUAUCAGACACCACGCUGGUCCUGGGUUUCUCCACAGCACCUGGAGACCUCUAGUGGCUAGAUCAUAUACUGUAAGUAACUAUAGUACACCUAAUAUUUGGGAACUGCUUCUUUAGCAUGCAGCCACAGAUUUUUCUGCUGCUUGGCACAGCACAGAGAAUUGCAUCUGUACUCUGUGGGGAACUGGACCCAUGCGCUGAGACCCGAGUCUGGCAGUCUCCUGUGCAGAAGUCUGGGGAUUUCCCCAGAAACUGCAUGGAGGUUUGAAAAAGUGGAUGCUUUAAUAGAAUUAAAUGAAAGUGACCCAUGCCUUCAGCCCCGUGUCCUACUUUUCCCACAUUACCCACCCCAUCCGUGCUGUUGGCCUGUGUUUCAUUUGAUCUUGGAUCUAGGUGAUUUGAUGCUGGCCCUGAACUUCCAGUGUGCUGUCCAUGCAUCACUGCACCACCGAGGUGACUGGGAUGACGGUUGGACUUGAUAGUGUCCCGAAGUCCCUCUCCACCCAAUGUGGCUAAGAUUCUCCGGCCCAUGCUGUGCAGGAGGGCAGGCUGGAGAGAACAAUGGUCUCUACUGGCCUGGUAGAGGCUGCUCUAGCUACAAGCAGACUGGGGGUAGCAAGGGACAAGGCUGGGAGGGGGCAGUCGCCAGCUGGGACUCCGAGGAAGUGGCCCCCAGCCAGGCUGCUGGGAAGCAUUUUCCACCCCGCACGACCACCACCAUUAGCAGGGGUAGGAUCAUGGCCGGGGCUGUGCCUGGUGCUACCGUAACUGCUGCCUGAGCUUUGGCCACAAGCACAGUGGCCCAUCUGUCCCCAUGUAGGCACCCGGCCUGCCACUCCACUGCACACCUUGCUGGCCGGGCAGUUCCCUGCCCUGGCCACCACUACAUCAAUUACACCAUGUGGCCAAGGAGCCUGGCAGCAAGAGCUCAUCCAUGGGCAGGGUUUUCUGGGGGCCAGGCAGGAGGUGUGGGCUCAGGGUGUGAGUGGGGGGGAGCCAGGUG